rnacentral:sRNA from 1 species
ACAUAAAGAGUUUGUUGCUCAUAAUCUCAACAACAUCGAAGACGAAACUGAACCACCUCUUCACAUCAAAAACACAUUUUCUUAAAAAUCUCUCGACUGUUUCGUCAAAUUCUUCUGAAGUCUCUGACAAUGGUUUUCGUCCGGUUAAGCUUUAACUAGAUAAGCUUUAUAUGACCCUUGAAAAGUCACCUAAGUCAUCUUCCCCUUCUUUUCCUUGAGAAUCUGAAAAAACUUUUUGAAGAAUUAUUCGAUUCCUUCCUUCUUAUCUGAUCCUAUCCAUAUCCAAACUAUUACUUUUCAAAAACACUCUAGAUUUAUCGUUUUUCAACCCCUUAUAUUCGUUGAAAUCUGAGAAGUUGAUCUCCCAAGUUUUCGCAAUUCCCCUCUAGAUAAUGACUUUAUAGCCAUUAAUCUCGGAGUUUUGAUAGAUCAUUUAUCACAGAUCCGAGCGUGGGCUCAAUCUGAUAUUGUUUGUGGUGUGUGUGAUCUUGAAAAUUGAACUUAUGGAUGUAGAAGAAAAAAA